rnacentral:lncRNA from 1 species
UCAAGGUCGAGCUCCCAGCUCGGACCGAUAUUCACAAAGGCCCAAGACCGAGCUCUCAGCUCGGAUAGACUCAUAUCCUUAAAGGAUCAAGAUACGAAGGCCAAAGAGAAAGGCCGAGCUCCCUCCAUAGAAGGACUCAUAAAUGAAGAAAUCCUUAGGAGGAUAAAAAGGCUAUAAUCAAAGCCUAAAUCAGUUUAUCUAGAACAAAUAUACGAAGUCACAACCAAGAAAGAAGGACUAAAAGCCAAAAACUGACAUGAUAGUUGCCAUUAAAAAGGUACGAGAUUUGAUCUCUCAGACUAUCAGCUAAGAGCUGAGCUCGCAACUUAAGAUUAAUUCAGAG